rnacentral:rRNA from 1 species
CCGUAAAACUAAUUACACUGAUAUCGCCAGGGUACUACGAGUUUAACUUGAAACCCAAAGGACUUGACGGUAUUCCACCCAACUAGAGGAGCUUGUCCUAUAAUCGAUUAUCCACGUUAUACCCAACCAUUUUUUGCCUUUUCAGCCUGUAUACCUCCGUCAUAAGCUCACCGUGUGAACGUUCAACAGUAGGCUUAAUGGCUUAUAAAUCACGCCAUCACGCCAGGUCAAGGUGCAGCUUAUAAAAUGGAAGAGAUGAGCUACAAUUUCUACCUUAGAACAAACAAGAUGCUGAAUGAAACACAGCUAAAAGGUGGAUUUAGAAGUAAGUAGGGAAUAGAGAGCCCCACUAAAAUUGGCCCUGGAAUAUGUACAAACCGCCCGUCACCCUCUUCAAUAAAUAUUAACUUUACUUUAGAUGAGGCAAGUCGUAACAUGGUAAGUAUACUGGAAAGUGUACUUAGAACAA